CGGAGGAACGAUGUGGUUUAAUUUCGAUGAUACGCGAGGAACCGUUACCUGGGCUAGAACGCAUUCGGAAUCAGGCCGAAAGGCCUGCGCCAGCGAUGGCCGCUUGCGAGGUGCUGCAUGGUUGUCGUCAGCUCGUGCCGUGAGGUGUCGGGUUAAGUCCCAUAACGAGCGCAACCCCUACUGCUAGUUGCCAGCGGGUCAUGCCGGGGACUCUAGCGGAACUGCCAGCGUAAGCUGCGAGGAAGGUGGGGAUGACGUCAAAUCAGCACGGCCCUUACGUCCAGGGCUACACACGUGUUACAAUGGCCGGUACAGAGGGCAGCCACCCCGCGAGGGGGCGCGAAUCCCGAAAGCCGGUCCCAGUUCGGAUCGGAGUCUGCAACCCGACUCCGUGAAGCUGGAUUCGCUAGUAAUCGCGCAUCAGCCACGGCGCGGUGAAUACGUUCCCGGGCCUU
rnacentral:rRNA from 1 species